UACGGAGGGGGUUAGCGUUGUUCGGAAUGACUGGGCGUAAAGCGUGCGCAGGCGGUUUUGUAAGUCUGACGUGAAAUCCCCGGGCUCAACCUGGGAAUUGCGUUGGAGACUGCAAGGCUAGAAUCUGGCAGAGGGGGGUAGAAUUCCACGUGUAGCAGUGAAAUGCGUAGAGAUGUGGAGGAACACCGAUGGCGAAGGCAGCCCCCUGGGUCAAGAUUGACGCUCAUGCACGAAAGCGUGGGGAGCGAACAGG
rnacentral:rRNA from 1 species